rnacentral:lncRNA from 1 species
GGUAAGCUUGAGCAUUUACUUGUUGGCUAAGUUUGGAAGCAAGUGGAGGAUUUUAAACAAAACACUUUCUCUUUAUUCUCACUUCUUCCCUAACUCACGGCCUCACCCUUUUCUCUCUCUAAUCUUCCUUUCCUCCAUUAAUCCUCCAUGAUCGAAGAACACCAAGCUUUUUUUUAGAUCAUCUCUACACCCAAGUCUUCCAAAGAUAUUGAUCUAAACACCUCUAUUUCCUUGGUAAAACCUAGAAGAUUAGUGGAGAUACAAGCUUGAAGGUUGGAAAGAAGAUUUUAUUUUUCUCUUUGAUUUACUUGAGUAAGUGUUCUAAUCUUAUGGAUCUAGACUCUAUAUUGAGAUAUAUGUGUGUAGAUGGAUGAUUGAAGCAUGAAAACUUCACCUCCUUGUUUUUCUUAUUUCGAAAAUUUGGGGCUUGGACCCUCAAAAAUUGUUCUUUUCUUUUCUUGAUUUGGAAGGAGAUUUAUAGUAUUUGGAGUGUGUUAAGAUGAUUUACAUGUGUUUUUGUUGAGCUUGAAAAAAUAAAGAUUGAUGAAAAUUCAAUUGAGUUAGUUUACCCAAAUUUAGGGAAAUUCUUGAGUAUAAGACUUGAUUGAUGAUUAUUGAGUUAAUAUAUAUGAAUAUCUUGAUGAUUAGCCAUGAGAUAUAGAUUUUUCUAUUAGGUUAGUUUACCUAAAAAUGGGGAUGUUGAGAUCCUAUGGAUCAAUUGAGGUAUUGAUGAUGAAUUUGAGUUUAUGAGAUGAUCUAGAUGAUUAAUAAUGGAUGAGAUUGAAGCUUGAGGUUGAGAAGUGAAAAAUGAAAAAUGUUAGUUUGAGGAAGAGAUGACAUACAUGUGUUCUAUAUGUGAUUUGUUUAUGAUGUUGAUUUGAGAUAUGAAUAGUUAGAUCAGGAUUUGAGAAUACUAUCAUGAUAAGUGAUAGUUUAAAAAGAAUUAGAGUAAUAAAAAACUGGGUUAUUAAAAAUUAUAUUGUUAUAUUCAAAUAGAGAUAUUCUUGAGAUAUAAGAGUUUGAGAUAGAUUUGGGAAAUUUCGUAGGCCUACUGACCUACUGUGAUCACGGUUUUCGAUGUCUAUAGCUUUGAAAAUUUAUAGCAAGUCCCUACAUGAGUUGGUACCUGGUAAAUUUCAAGCCAUUCCAACUUCGUUUGAUAUUUCUUUAAAAUGCAAAACCAAACUGCACAUUACUACCGAGAAUUUCAGAGAACAGGGGAAAGAGUCAUUUAUUUCAGUAGCUUCCUAUGUGAUCUAGCUUUCCAAAUUUUUAUUGUAUUAACCUUAUUGUGUUAUCUAGAUAUCCACCAAAGUUGAGUCCAAUUUAACAACGUUUACUAUUUUUCAAAAAUCCAAGUUUUCGAUUGCACAAAACUGCCGAAUAUGGUAGAUCGUGGUAAAAACGUCAUAUCUCUCAAACCACUUGGAGUUUUCGACUCUACUUUUUUUUUAUAUGAAACUAGACUCGAAGAUCUUUCUUUCGGUAUGAGUCUCGAGUCCAGAAGAUGUCGGAGUCAGAACAGAUUAAAUUUUGAAGUUGAAUCAGUGUAAAAAUAGAGCAUGUUUUAAUGAUGUUUGAUUGUGAUUCUUAUGUGCCUUAUGUAUGUGUUUGAAUGAGAUUAGACGAGCCUUAUAUGAGAGAUAAAUCGAGACUUAGAACCAUGAUUUUCUUGAAACUAUCCUUGAACUAAGGAUUUGAGAUGAGUGGAGAGUUUAUAUAGAGUUGAGUAAGGAGAUAGAAUAUGGGAUAGAGCAUGAGUUAAGGCUUUAUGAGUAUGGAUUUUUAAAAGGAUUAAAAUGUUUUAAAUUAAUUCCAUUUUAAUGGAGUUUAAAAUGCUUAUUUAAGUCAUUUAUAAAUGAAUAAUGGAAUUUCGUAUUUAUUUACAUGGAAAUGAAAUGUAUAGAAUGUUAUAAGAUGGUGCAUGAUUAUUAUCUCUUAUGUGAACAUGUGAAUUUCUAAAUGAUAUUAAGUUUAAGGAUGUUGAAUUCUUUUAUUUCGUUUGUUAUGUGGUUACGUGAUAUUAUGUGGUUAGUCGAUGUUAUGUUGGUUUUUGACUGUUUUAAUGAAACGAAUUAUGGAUGCUAGAACCCUAAAACACUAAAAGAUACCCUAAGCACGUAGAAUUAGACUUUGUCUUUGACAAUUUUCUUCACGAACUUACCGACUCUUCAUCAAUAAAGGUCCGGGCGACAGAAGUGAAGCCGAAGAAGAACGACUCCACGCAGCUUAAGAACUUGAGGUGGCAUUACUUUUACUAUACGUAUAUAGAGAUCCCCUGCGUGUCGUAGGCCUCUUAUACGAAUAUAUGCAUGAGAUGUAUUUUAACUGUUAAUUUCAGUUUAUUAUUAUGCCCAAAUGAUAAAUGACUCUUGUGAAAUGAAAAUGAAAUGUUUAUGAAAAUGAAAAUGUUUAUGAAAUGAAAUGAUUGUCUGCCAAAAAUGUUUAUGUUUUACGUAUGUAUCCUAUCUGUGUUGGUUCGCCAACUUUAAAGGAAAUCCAAUUGGGAUCCUAUGCUAGACAAAGGUUGCUAGCUAGGGUUAACGUGCACACUCAUGGAGACCGCGAGUCGCUUGCGACCGGUCUUGGCGUCCGUGGUAAGGAGGCCUCAUUUCCAGCGCGUGACAGAAAGGAACAGAUAUGGAUCAUAUGAAGGAAAAUGGGUCGGCUGGCCAAUCUUAUGAAAAUGAAAGAAAUGUUUUAGUAAGCGCAUGUCUUUCAAGAAAACCCCUGUGUGUUACUGUUAUGGCAGUUCAAUUUAUAUAUGUUAUGCAUGAUGUAUUUUCGGCAUAUGUCCACUGAGUAUUUUUAUACUCAGCCCUGCAUGUAUUUCUAAAUGUGCAGGUUGAGCAGCUGAUGGAAUGGAAUGGUGUUGAGCGGGUGUUCCUUUGAUCAUUUCAAGAAAUGUAACCUUGAGUAUACAUCUUCAUAUGUAUAUCUCACACGUUUUCCGCUGCAAAACACUUUGAUUAGGAUAACUCUAUGUUAUGAAGUUGUGACACGUGAUAUUGGGUAACCCACCUUAAUCAGUUCUCCUUUAUGUGUAUGUUUUAUAAGUAUCCAAAUGAUCAUAUAUGAUCCUAGCAUUUUAUCUAUGAGUGAUAUUUCCAUAUACUUUAAUGUUAAGUAAUUGUCCAUUUCCGUUCCCACUCAUUAAUUCUCAUCCCAAGUCAUAAUCCCGGC